UGUGUAGGCGGUUUGAUAAGUUGGAUGUGAAAGCUCCUGGCUUAACUGGGAGAGGUCGUUCAAAACUAUCAGACUUGAGAGUGGUAGAGGGAGGUGGAAUUCCGGGUGUAGUGGUGAAAUGCGUAGAUAUCCGGAGGAACACCAGUGGCGAAAGCGGCCUCCUGGCCCAUUUCUGACGCUCAGACACGAAAGCUAAGGUAGCAAACG
rnacentral:rRNA from 1 species